rnacentral:rRNA from 1 species
GACGAACGCUGGCGGCGUGCUUAACACAUGCAAGUCGAACGGAAAGGCCCUGCUUUUGUGGGGUGCUCGAGUGGCGAACGGGUGAGUAACACGUGAGUAACCUGCCCUUGACUUUGGGAUAACUUCAGGAAACUGGGGCUAAUACCGGAUAGGAGCUCCUGCUGCAUGGUGGGGGUUGGAAAGUUUCGGCGGUUGGGGAUGGACUCGCGGCUUAUCAGCUUGUUGGGGGGGUAGUGGCCUACCAAGGCUUUGGCGGGUGGCCGGCCUGGGAGGGUGGCCGGCCGCGUUGGGGCGGGGGGUCGGCCCAGAGUCCUACGGGGGGGAGAAGGGGGGAAUUUUGCACCAUGGGCGGAAGCCUGAUGCAGCAACGCCGCGUGCGGGAUGACGGCCUUCGGGUUGUAAACCGCUUUCGCCUGUGACGAAGCGUGAGUGACGGUAAUGGGUAAAGAAGCACCGGCUAACUACGUG